rnacentral:hammerhead_ribozyme from 1 species
AUUGGCUGACGAGUCCCAAAUAGGACGAAACGCGCGUCCUGAAU